GACCCACCUGAUUCCAUGCCGAACUCAGAAGUGAAACACAAUAGCGCCGAUGGUAGUGUGGGGCUUCCCCAUGUGAGAGUAGGACAUCGCCAAGC
rnacentral:rRNA from 1 species